GUUGGCAAUCAUCAUGAGCCCCUGUUCUCAUUCUGCAAAUGGUGAAGCUCUCUAUUGUCCUGACCCCACAGUUCCUGUUCCAUGAGCAGGGCCAGCUCACCAAGGAGCUGCAGCAGCACGUAAAGUCAGUGACAUGCCCAUGCGAGUACCUGAGGAAGACGAUCCUACACCUGCCACCUCCGAUGGAUCCACUGCGUCUGUGCCUGCCUGUACUGCCGAUGCUCCAGUGGAUAACUCAGCAUCCCAGCCUAGGCCCAAUGCCACUGAAGAUGGACCUGCCCCCUGGGGACCCAGGAGUCCUACCACUCAGCUGUCCCCAGGAGUGCCCAGACCCUCAUUGUUAUCCAGGACCUAGGAGCCCUACCCCUGGCCUUCCCUUAUCAGCCGUAAAUGAUGAUUUACUGCUGUUACCAUCAUCACUGCCUUCAGUGACCAAGGGCCUUCCAAGGUGCCAGCUCUGGAACGAAGGAUGCCCUUGGGAGGUGAUGACACUCAGGUUGAUGGACGGAUGGCUACAUGGAUGUGAUGGAGAUGGUUUACUAUCGGGACCUUCCGCAUCCUGCUGAUGUUUUGUUGCUUAGGAUAUGAAUGGCUGAGCGGAGGCUGUAAAACCUGGCACUCUGCUUGGGUAUGAGGUUCUUCCUGCCAUCCUGCCAUCAUUUGUUUUUUAUGUUUUGUCGCCAAAAGUGACCUUGAGGAACCCUGGGAGCUCAGGAAGGAAGGAGCGCCCAGAAGCAGGGACAGGGAGCUGGUUGGGAGGCACCAGAAAUCAGGGUUUGUGAAGGUUCCAAGAGAGGACCUGGCCUGGAGGAGCGUGCGGGGGACUGAGAUGGGGAGGUCUUGG
rnacentral:lncRNA from 1 species